rnacentral:rRNA from 1 species
GACGAACGCUGGCGGCGUGCUUAACACAUGCAAGUCGAACGGAAAGGCCCUGCUUUUGUGGGGUGCUCGAGUGGCGAACGGGUGAGUAACACAUGAGUAACCUGCCCUUGACUUUGGGAUAACUUCAGGAAACUGGGGCUAAUACCGGAUAGGAGCUCCUGCUGCAUGGUGGGGGUUGGAAAGUUUCGGCGGUUGGGGAUGGACUCGCGGCUUAUCAGCUUGUUGGUGGGGUAGUGGCUUACCAAGGGUUUGACGGGUAGCCGGCCUGAGAGGGUGACCGGCCACAUUGGGACUGAGAUACGGCCCAGACUCCUACGGGAGGCAGCAGUGGGGAAUAUUGCACAAUGGGCGGAAGCCUGAUGCAGCAACGCCGCGUGCGGGAUGACGGCCUUCGGGUUGUAAACCGCUUUCGCCUGUGACGAAGCGUGAGUGACGGUAAUGGGUAAAGAAGCACCGGCUAACUACGUG